rnacentral:rRNA from 1 species
GACGGAGGGUGCAAACGUUGUUCGGAAUUACUGGGCGUAAAGCGCGUGUAGGCUGUUCGGAAAGUCGGACGUGAAAGCCCUGGGCUUAACCCAGGAAGUGCAUUCGAAACUCCCGAACUCGAGUCCUGGAGAGGAAGGCGGAAUUCUCGGUGUAGAGGUGAAAUUCGUAGAUAUCGAGAGGAACAUCGGUGGCGAAGGCGGCCUUCUGGACAGUGACUGACGCUGAGACGCGAAAGCGUGGGGAGCGAACAGG